AACGAACGCUGGCGGCAUGCCUAACAUAUGCAAGUCGAACGAGACCUUCGGGUCUAGUGGCGCACGGGUGCGUAACGCGUGGGAAUCUACCCUUGGGUUCGGAAUAACUCAGAGAAAUUUGAGCUAAUACCGGAUGAUGUCGCAAGACCAAAGAUUUAUCGCCCAAGGAUGAGCCCGCGUAGGAUUAGCUUGUUGGUGAGGUAAAAGCUCACCAAGGCGACGAUCCUUAGCUGGUCUGAGAGGAUGAUCAGCCACACUGGGACCGAGACACGGCCCAGACUCCUACGGGAGGCAGCAGUGGGGGAAUAUUGGGACAAUGGGCGAAAGCCUGAUCCAGCAAUGCCGCGUGAGUGAUGAAGGCCUUAGGGUUGUAAAGCUCUUUUACCCGGGAUGAUAAUGACAGUACCGGGGAGAAUAAGCCCCGGCUAACUCCGUGCCAGCAGCCGC
rnacentral:rRNA from 1 species